GAUGAACGCUGACAGAAUGCUUAACACAUGCAAGUCGAUGGGGAAGUGGUGCUUGCACCAUGGCAACCAUGGCGGACGGGUGAGUAACGCGUAAGGGACUUACCUGCAGGACUGGGAUAACAGGGGGAAACUCCUGACAAGACCGGAUAAUGUCAUGGAGCUGCAUGGCUUUAUGAUGAAAGGAGACGCCUGCGGAGAGCCUUGCGUCCUAUUAGCUAGUUGGUGAGGUAAUGGCUCACCAAGGCGAAGAUAGGUAGCCGGCCUGAGAGGGUGGACGGCCACAAGGGGACUGAGAUACGGCCCUUACUCCUACGGGAGGCGGCAGUGGGGAAUAUUGGACAAUGGGGGCAACCCUGAUCCAGCAAUUCUGUGUGCACGAAGAAGGUUUUCGGAUUGUAAAGUGCCUUCAGCAGGGAAGAAGUAAGUGACGGUACCUGCAGAAGAAGCGACGGCUAAAUACGUG
rnacentral:rRNA from 1 species